GAUGAACGCUAGCGGCAGGCCUAAUACAUGCAAGCUGAACGGCAAGAUUUGUAGCAAUACGAGUCCUAGAGUAGCGUAAGGGCGCGUAACACGUAUGCAAUCUGCCCGCAACAGGAGGAUAGCUUAGCGAAAGUUGAGAUAAGACUCCAUAAGAUCACGAGAGGGCAUCUGAUUGUGAUUAAACUACAAGGGGUUGCGAUNAGCAUGCGUCUGAUUAGUUAGUU
rnacentral:rRNA from 1 species